rnacentral:lncRNA from 1 species
GCAGCUGCUGGGCCGGCUCUCGGGAGAGUGCCUUGGCGUCAAGCUUAUCAGGCUGCAGGGUGGGACGCGAGUGCUGAGGGCAGCCAGACUCCCGCUCUUAGGUGCAGUUGAGGAGCCUGAGAAGGCAGUGGCUCUGCGGGAGAGGGAGACACAGGAGUAGGGCUGGUCAGCCGAGAUUCCGGAGAGACGGUUGUGGGCCGAUUCUGUGGCGAGAUUUACAAGUGAGAGGUUGGGUGACGAUUGCUCCUGGGCCAGAAAAUCUAAGCCAGUCUCGGCAAGACCUACAAGGCCAGGGCCAGUGCUCCUCAGAGGAUAUUCAUGCUCCAGGAAAGCCAAGGAUGGGCCUCCGUCAUGCUGAGAUGCUGCAGCAGGGACACCUGUGUCCCACGUGGAGCUCGGCUUCUAGCUGCAGUCAGGGCAGAAGCUGGCAGGAGGAGUUUACUGCUGUCCUCGGAAGCUUUUGUGCUUCCUGGCCUGAGGACACGGCUCUCACAUCCAGACAGACC